ACGGGGUGCAGAGGCGCGAAACCUCCACAAUUCACGAAAGUGAGAUGGGGUUAUCUCGAGUGCCGCCUGAUGAAGGCGGCUUUUCCAUUGUGUAAUGAGCCGUGGGAAUAAGAGGGGGGCAAGACUGGUGUCAGCCGCCGCGGUAACACCAGCCCCUCGAGUGGUGGGGAUGAUUAUUUGGCCUAAAGCGUCCGUAGCUUGCCCUGUAAAUCUCUCGUUAAAUCCAACGUCCUAAGCGUUGGGCUGCGAGAGAGACUGCAGAGCUAGAGGGUGGGAGAGGUUAGCGGUAUUCCUGGGGUAGGGGCGAAAUCCAUUGAUCCCAGGAGGACCACCAGUGGCGAAGGCUGCUGACUAGAACACGCCUGACAGUGAGGGACGAAAGCUGGGGUAGCGAAUCGGAUUAGAUACCCGAGUAGUCCCAGCCGUAAACGAUGCAGGUUAGGUGUUGGGUCGGCCAUGUGCUGGCUCAGUGCCACAGGGAAAGCCAUUAAACCUGCCGCCUGGGGAGUACGGCCGCAAGGCUGAAACUUAAAGGAAUUGGCGGGG
rnacentral:rRNA from 1 species